CACUGUUAGCCCAGUGCCCAUCUGGCUGCUUCCACAUUUAGUGAAGUGCACCAGGAUUUAGUUAUAACUUGCACUAUUGUGCCAUGAAACUCAGUUUGGCUCCAAACUGUGUUUUGUGUGUGUGUUUUGUUUUUUCUUGUUUUUGUUUUUUUUUUAGAAAGAAACUUGACCCCACUAGAACCUCAUCCAGGUAUAAAGACUUGAAGAACACUCCUAUAAAAAUUUGGGGAAAGGAUACCCUAUUUAAUAAAUGGUAGUAGGGAAACUGGCUACCCACAUGCAAAAGGAUGAAUCCCUCUCCCUCUCCCUCUCCCUCUCCCUCUCCCUCUCCGUCCCUCCCUCUCCGUCUCCGUCUCCGUCUCCGUCUCCCUCUCCCCACGGUCUCCCUCUCAUGCGGAGCCGAAGCUGGACUGUACUGCUGCCAUCUCGGCUCACUGCAACCUCCCUGCCUGAUUCUCCUGCCUCAGCCUGCCGAGUGCCUGCGAUUGCAGGCACGCGCCGCCACGCCUGACUGGUUUUGGUGGAGACGGGGUUUCGCUGUGUUGGCCGGACCGGUCUCCAGCCCCUAACCGCGAGUGAUCCGCCAACCUCGGCCUCCCGAGGUGCCGGGAUUGCAGACGGAGUCUCGUUCACUCAGUGCUCAAUGGUGCCCAGGCUGGAGUGCAGUGGCGUGAUCUCGGCUCACUACAACCUCCACCUCCCAGCCGCCUGCCUUGGCCUCCCAAAGUGCCGAGAUUGCAGCCUCUGCCCGGCCGCCACCCCGUCUGGGAAGUGAGGAGUGUCUCUGCCUGGCCGCCCAUCGUCUGGGAUGUGAGGAGCCCCUCUGCCCGGCCGCCCAGUCUGGGAAGUGAGGAGCGUCUCCGCCCGGCCGCCAUCCCAUCUAGGAAGUGAGGAGCGCCUCUUCCCAGCCGCCAUCACAUCUAGGAAGUGAGGAGCGUCUCUGCCCGGCCGCCCAUCGUCUGAGAUGUGGGGAGCGCCUCUGCCUCACCGCCCCAUCUGGGAUGUGAGGAGCGCCUCUGCCCGGCCGAGACCCCGUCUGGGAGGUGAGGAGCGUCUCUGCCCGGCCGCCCCGUCUGAGAAGUGAGGAGACCCUCUGCCUGGCAACCACCCCGUCUGAGAAGUGAGGAGCCCCUCCGCCCGGCAGCUGCCCCGUCUGAGAAGUGAGGAGCCUCUCCGCCCAGCAGCCACCCCAUCUGGGAAGUGAGGAGCAUCUCCGCCCGGCAGCCACCCCAUCCGGGAGGGAGGUGAGGGGGGGUCAGCCCCCGCCCGGCCAGCCGCCCCAUCCGGGAGGGAGGUGGGGGGUCAGCCCCCCGCCCGGCCAGCCGUGCCAUCCGGGAGGGAGGUGGGGGGGUCAGCCCCCCGCCCGGCCAGCCGCCCGGUCCGGGAGGUGAGGGGCGCCUCUGCCCGGCCGCCCCUACUGGGAAGUGAGGAGCCCCUCUGCCCGGCCAGCCGCCCCGUCCGGGAGGGAGGUGGGGGGGGUCAGCCCUCCGCCCGGCCAGCCGCCCCGUCUGGGAGGUGAGGGGCGCCUCUGCCCGGCCGCCCCUACUGGGAAGUGAGGAGCCCCUCUGCCCGGCCAGCCGCCCCGUCCGGGAGGGAGGUGGGGGGGUCGGCCCCCCGCCCGGCCAGCCGCCCCGUCCGGGAGGGAGGUGGGGGUGUCGGCCCCCCGCCCGGCCAGCCGCCCCGUCCGGGAGGGAGGUGGGGGGGGUCAGCCCCCCUGCCCGGCCAGCCGCCCCGUCCGGGAGGUGAGGGGCGCCUCUGCCCGGCCACCCCUACUGGGAAGUGAGGAGCCCCUCUGCCCGGCCAGCCGCC
rnacentral:lncRNA from 10 species